rnacentral:rRNA from 1 species
UACGGAGGGGGCUAGCGUUGUUCGGAAUUACUGGGCGUAAAGCGCACGUAGGCGGCUUUGUAAGUUAGAGGUGAAAGCCCGGGGCUCAACUCCGGAAUUGCCUUUAAGACUGCAUCGCUAGAAUUGUGGAGAGGUAAGUGGAAUUCCGAGUGUAGAGGUGAAAUUCGUAGAUAUCUGGAGGAACACCGGUGGCGAAGGCGGCGUUCUGGACUGCAACUGACACUGUAAAACGAAAGCCAGGGGAGCAAACGGG